AGAGUUUGAUCCUGGCUCAGGAUAAACGCUGGCGGCGUGCCUAACACAUGCAAGUCGAACGCCCUUGAGCAAUCAAGGGAGUGGCGGACGGGUGAGUAACACGUGGAUAACCUGCCCUGCGGUGAGGAAUACCGGCGAGAAAUCGCCGACAAUACCGCAUGUGCUCACGCAAGUGAGUAAAGUCUCGCAAGAGACGCCAC
rnacentral:rRNA from 1 species